rnacentral:rRNA from 1 species
ACUCCUACGGGAGGCAGCAGUGGGGAAUACUUGGACAAUGGGCGAAAGCCUGAUCCAGCAAUGCCGCGUGAGUGAUGAAGGCCCCUAGGGUUGUAAAGCUCUUUUACCCGGGAAGAUAAUGACUGUACCGGGAGAAUAACGCCCCCGGCUAACUCCGUGCCAGCAGCCGCGGUAAUACGGAGGGGGCUAGCGUUGUUCGGGAAUUACUGGGCGUAAAGCGCACGUAGGCGGCUUUGUAAGUCAGAGGUGAAAGCCUGGAGCUCAACUCCAGAACUGCCUUUGAGACUGCAUCGCUUGAAUCCAGGAGAGGUCAGUGGAAUUCCGAGUGUAGAGGUGAAAUUCGUAGAUAUUCGGAAGAACACCAGUGGCGAA